GGGGUUCAUUAAACAGUCCAUGACCUUUUGUCUCAAGAGUGGAAUUUUUGUUCCAUGUUUUCCUUUUCCAGUAACUGCAUAACGAAUACAAGCAGCCCACUCAGGUAUGGACUCAACUGUUGGUGCUUGAAUAAUACUCUGAAAAUGGGUCAUCAACCAGCUAUCCCAUGCUUCUGAAACACCGGAAACAUCAGAAUGUAGCACACCUGCC
rnacentral:misc_RNA from 1 species